rnacentral:rRNA from 1 species
CCCUUAGAUGUUCUGGGCUGCACGCGUGCUACACUGAUUACUUCAACAAGUGUUUUAACUGGAGAGUUUGCGUAAUCCUGAAAUGUUAUCGUGAUGGUAGUAGAGUAUUGUAUUUGUUAAUCUUUAACGAGGAAUUCCUAGUAAGUGUAGGUUUAUAAGUUGUUCUGAUUACGUCCCUGCCCUUUGUACACACCGCCCGUCGCUCCUACCGAUUGAUUGAUCCGGUGAAUUACAUAGAAUUUUGCGUUUUACAUGACGGAAGAUGAAGUGUUUUAAACCUUAUCAUUUAGAGGAAGGAGAAGUCGUAACA